rnacentral:piRNA from 1 species
AUAAUGAUGCUAAGCUGAACCC